rnacentral:misc_RNA from 1 species
UUCUGUACUUGAAGUGCGAAGGAAAGGAUUACAAGCCUUCUCAACCUUUAGCGUAGUUGGAAUCUAUAUUGCAAAGAAAACCAACUUCAGUGUGGAAAAUUUUGGAAGAUAAAAGUAUAACACUGACAUAAUAAGAUUGGCAAAGAACAGCACCUAAAUGAUGCAAAGAGUAAAGUCUCUGUAAACAUUCCACAGAUCACAGAUGGUUGCAAAGUGCACACCAAUACAUAACUAGACUGCUCUCGAAAGAGAGAUUCACAACAAAGUUUCUUGCCAUUUCUUUGUAGCCUAUGACCAUGAGCUCAUUUAAAUUGAACCUGAUCUUAAGGUUCAUAACCAUGAUAGAGUUUUUCAUAACACACAAUGAAAUUGCAGUACAGACAGCUGGAUUCACAACCAAGUUCAGUUUUGCACGUUCAUAGCAUUGAACUAGGGACCAAAAGCCAUUUUGUUUUCAAAUAUUUCUCAAAUCUAAAAGAGGCUAUACAAAUUGGCAUAUGCACUAGCAUAUCCAGCAAUCUUUUCAAGGAACAUUUGCAACUCCACCAGUGAAGGAUGCAGAUAUUUUAUUCAGGGGAGCCCAUUUUAAACAUAUAUAUAUGAAAAAAAAAAUACAUAUAUCUCCUCCUAAAAAUAAAAUGAAGAGUCUUCAGAACUUAUAGCAAAUUAAAAGCGUUUCAGGUUAUUAUAAAGAAUUGAGACUACAAUCUUAUCUAAAAAUUGACCAAAAUUUCGCAUUUUUUACAUGAUAAAUUUGUUCCGGGCCCAACCUUUGAGCAUUAAUAGCAAAACUUUACAAUGAUUUA